ACACAAAUAUCAUAGACACAGAAGUUACAUAUGCUUUUAUUAAGAGUUAAUGAUUUAAAAAAUAACCUAAUGAUAUGAGUGCUAAAUUUGUAAAUAAUUGAAAUGAGUCACUUUCUUCUGGUAACACCUUCCUGGGGCUAUUCCAUUCCAAGAUGACCAAAUAGGAACAGCUCUGGUCUGGAGCUCCCAGCGUGCCCGACACAGAAGACGGGUGAUUUCUGCAUUUUCACAGAGUUAUUCCUUUGUAGUUGUGAUCCAGCAUGGAUGUGGUGUGGUUGUAUCAGUGACUGCAGGUAGUCUGUGGAGCAUUACACAGUUCUUUACGGAAAUAGCAGCUGCAAGUGACCAGGACCACUGACAGCAGAAGGCACCUCACUUACCAUGGUAAAAAGCAGUUUAGAAAAAUCUCAAAAACAAAAUAAAUGUUUAUUGGAGACUCAA
rnacentral:lncRNA from 1 species